AUUCAGCUGACGAGUCUUGAAUAGGACGAAACGAGCAUCCUGUAU
rnacentral:hammerhead_ribozyme from 1 species